GGGGUGCAGCAGGCGCGAAAACUUCGCAAUGCACGAAAGUGCGACGAGGCUACUUCGAGUGCCGUCCGCUGAGGAUGGCUUUUGCCAAGUCUAAAUAGCUUGGAGAAUAAGGGGAGGGCAAGUCUGGUGUCAGCCGCCGCGGUAAUACCAGCUCCCCGAGUGGUCGGGAUGAUUAUUGGGCCUAAAGCAUCCGUAGCCGGUUCCGUAGGUCUCCUGUUAAAUUCAACGGCUCAACCGUUGAGCUGCAGGAGAUACCGCGGGGCUAGGAGGCGGGAGAGGCGGACGGUACUCCGUGGGUAGGGGUAAAAUCCUCUGAUCCUCGGAAGACCACCAGUGGCGAAGGCGGUCCGCCAGAACGCGCUCGACGGUGAGGGAUGAAAGCUGGGGGAGCGAACCGGAUUAGAUACCCGGGUAGUCCCAGCUGUAAACGAUGCGAGCUAGGUGAUAGAAUGAUUUCGUAUCAUUCUAGUGCCGCAGGGAAGCCGUUAAGCUCGCCGCCUGGGGAGUACGGUCGCAAGACUGAAACUUAAAGGAAUUGG
rnacentral:rRNA from 1 species